rnacentral:rRNA from 1 species
ACUGAACGCUGGCGGCAUGCUUUACACAUGCAAGUCGAACGGUAGAGGGGGCAACCCCUUGAGAGUGGCGAACGGGUGAGUAAUGCAUCGGAACGUGCCCAGUCGUGGGGGAUAACGCAGCGAAAGCUGUGCUAUUACCGCAUACGAUCUCUGGAUGAAAGCGGGGGACCGAAAGGCCUCGCGCGAUUGGAGCGGCCGAUGUCAGAUUAGGUAGCGGGUGGGGUAAAGGCUCACCAAGCCAACGAUCUGUAGCUGGUCUGAGAGGACGACCAGCCACGCAGGGACUGGGACACGGCCCAGACUCCUACGGGAGGCAGCAGUGGGGAAUUUUGGACAAUGGGCGCAAGCCUGAUCCAGCAAUGCCGCGUGCAGGAAGAAGGCCUUCGGGUUGUAAACUGCUUUUGUACGGAACGAAAAGGUCUGGGUUAAUACCCUGGGCACAUGACGGUACCGUAAGAAUAAGCACCGGCUAACUACGUGCCAGCAGCCGCCGCAG